CGGGAUCAUCAGUGAAAAUAGUUGUGGUGCCAGAGGCUGCUUUUAUUGGAAAAAAGAAGAGCAGAAUUCCCUGCUUUCAGAGUAGAAUCCACCAAUUGGAGCUUAUUUCUGUCUGUCCAGCUGCUAUAAAAGCCUGUUCUGUGCUAAGAAGAUCAGCCGUUUACAUCAGAAAAAUGGAAAGUGGGGAAAAAGAGGUCAGGAAUAUCCACGAUGUGUAACAACACUUGGAGGUGGAGGAGGAGGAUGAGCAAAAUGUGUUUGAUGAGGAGGAGCAAGACAGAUCAGGGAAUGACAUUUUCAUAGAUCAGGAUGACAAUCAACCAGUUGCAAGAGAGAGUACAGUCUUGCUGCAUUGGCGUGCCCUGCGUUGCCAACAGGAUGAAGAGUAUCAAUGUUAUCUGCUAAUAGACAGAGAAAGGGUAAGAAACUUCAGACAUUUAUAUAACCAACUUGCACUCUUAACUUACACUCUUCUAAAUAUGCAAAAUGAAGUUUGGACAGCGAGAAUCCCUUCUUGUUCAGGGAGAUUGGAUUGAGCUGUUGAAUAGCACUUAAACUUAAGUUUCAUUUUACAUUAGGAGAGAAGGUAAAGGCAACUCCAGGAGUGUGAACUAAAAAAAAAUACAUGAAAGUUUGUUAAGUAAUAGUUAUUGCCCUAUAAAAACUAAAACCCUAAAUCAAUCACUUACAUUUACAAUCAUUAGUGUUUAGUAAUACAUACAAGAAAUGAAUUGAUUGAUUCCAUACCACAGCCUGAAAAUGGGUUGGUCAUUCAGUUUAAAUAUCCUGAUGGUGGCUUAAAAAGGAGCUUCCUGCCCAGUGAGCUAUUUCAGGUAUUUCCAUGUUUCCCUUAUUAUACUUCUCUUCAGAGUUCACAGCUGUUUGCAUGUUUAUAAGUAAUAAAUGUAGAUACUUUUUUGCA
rnacentral:lncRNA from 1 species